CGAGGUGGGACCAAGCCAUGCUAGUCGAACGAACAGAACUAUGUCUGUAAGUGGCAUACUGCUCAGUAACACGUAGCUAACCUACCCUUAGGACGUCGAUAACCCCGAGAAAUUGGGGCUAAUAGGCGAUAGGUGUGAUGUCCUGGAAUGGUAUCACGCCCAAAGGUAUCCCAUACAUGUUUGGUAUACGCCUAAGGAUGGGGCUGCGGCCGAUCAGGCAGUUGGUGAGGUAAUGGCUCACCAAACCUUUGACCGGUACGGGCCAUGAGAGUGGUAGCCCGGAGAUGGACACUGAGACAAGGGUCCAGGCCCUACGGGGCGCAGCAGGCGCGAAACCUCCUCAAUGCACUAACGUGCGAAGGGGUUACCUCGAGUGCCACCUGAAGAAGGUGGUUUUUCCUUGGUCUAAAAAGCCUCGGGAAUAAGAGGGGGGCAAGACUGGUGUCAGCCGCCGCGGUAACACCAGCCCCUCGAGUGGUGGGGAUGAUUAUUUGGCCUAAAGCGUCCGUAGCCGGCCGGGUAAGUCUCCCGUUAAAUCCAGCGUCUCAAGCGUUGGACUGCGGGAGAUACUGCCUGGCUAGAGAGUGGGAGAGGUCAGCGGUAUUCUGGGGGUAGGGGCGAAAUCCUUUGAUCCCCGGAGGACCACCAGUGGCGAAGGCUGCUGACUAGAACACGUCUGACGGUCAGGGACGAAAGCUGGGGUAGCGAACCGGAUUAGAUACCCGGGUAGUCCCAGCCGCCCGGCGUUGAAUCCAAUUGGCGCUGUUGAUGACCGUGAUUCCGGCAGGA
rnacentral:rRNA from 1 species